rnacentral:rRNA from 1 species
GACGUAGGGUGCGAGCGUUGUCCGGAUUUAUUGGGCGUAAAGAGCUCGUAGGCGGCUCGUCGCGUCGACCGUGAAAACCCGCAGCUUAACUGCGGGCUUGCGGUUGAUACGGGCGGGCUAGAGUUCGGUAGGGGAGACUGGAAUUCCUGGUGUAGCGGUGAAAUGCGCAGAUAUCAGGAAGAACACCCGUGGCGAAGGCGGUUCUCUGGGACGGUACUGACGCUGAGACGCGAAAGCGUGGGGAGCGAACAGG